UACGUAGGUGGCAAGCGUUGUCCGGAUUUACUGGGCGUAAAGAGCGCGCAGGCGGUCGUUCAAGUCGAGUGUGAAAGCCCCCGGCUCAACUGGGGAGGGUCACGCGAUACUGUUCGACUUGAAGGCAGGAGAGGGAAGUGGAAUUCCCGGUGUAGUGGUGAAAUGCGUAGAUAUCGGGAGGAACACCAGUGGCGAAGGCGACUUCCUGGCCUGUUCUUGACGCUGAGGCGCGAAAGCUAGGGUAGCAAACGGG
rnacentral:rRNA from 1 species